rnacentral:tRNA from 1 species
GCCUGGCUGGCUCAAUUGCAAGAGCAUGUAACUCUCAAUCUUGGGGUCAUGGGUUUGAGCCCCAUGUUAGGUG